UACGUAGGGUGCGAGCGUUGUCCGGAAUUAUUGGGCGUAAAGGGCUCGUAGGCGGUUUGUCGCGUCGGGAGUGAAAUCCACUGGCUUAACUGGUGGCUUGCUUUCGAUACGGGCAGACUGGAGGUAUGCAGGGGAGAACGGAAUUCCUGGUGUAGCGGUGAAAUGCGCAGAUAUCAGGAGGAACACCGGUGGCGAAGGCGGCAUCCUGGACCAACACUGACGCUGAGUGAGCGAAAGCCAGGGGAGCAAACGGG
rnacentral:rRNA from 1 species